rnacentral:rRNA from 1 species
UACGUAGGGUGCAAGCGUUAAUCGGAAUUACUGGGCGUAAAGCGUGCGCAGGUGGCCGAGCAAGUCGAGUGUGAAAUCCCCGAGCUUAACUUGGGAAUUGCGCUCGAAACUACUUGGCUCGAGUGUGGCAGAGGAAGGUGGAAUUCCACGUGUAGCGGUGAAAUGCGCAGAUAUCAGGAGGAACACCGGUGGCGAAGGCGGGUCUCUGGGCCGAUACUGACGCUGAGGAGCGAAAGCGUGGGGAGCGAACAGG